GAAGCAAUUCAGAGAAAAGUGAAAAUGUAAUUUACCGGGGUUCAGCUAGGACGCCCAUCUUGUUCUAAAUCCAACAAGUUGAUCACAUGUGAGGGGCCCCAGCGUACCCUAAAAUAUAUCCAUUAAUUCCCAGAGAUUAAAAUCCAUGUGCUUAAAAACAACCACAACAAAAAUACCAGCUGCCUUUUGAAAGCAAGGGCGUUGGGAAAUGAAUGGAAUCUCAUGCUCCUGCUCUGUGUUCAAGAGCUUCGAUGGCUACUGUGUUACAUCAGGAAUGGCCAGUGCCUGGACCCCACCCUCCCCCACUCCCUUUUAAUUCAAUGGCUACGUGGGGGCUUCUUUGAUGGAGGCUUUGAAGUCGGUGGCUUUGAGAUUACUCUUCCUCUGUGACCUUGACCACCAGCCAUGAGGUUAGUAGGGAAGGGGAGGGGAGGAGGAAGGCUCUGGAGCUGGAAAAAGAGAAGGAAGGAGAGGGGAGGGACAGCAUUUCUGCAGCAUUCCAGGACUUUUCUGAUCGCUCGGCAAAGCUGAAAUAUGAUUGCAGCCUUUGCGCCGGGAAGGAAAGAAACCAUUUAAAUGAAAAAUUAGCUGCCUUAGCGGGUCAAGCACAUAGUUACAUUAAUGUCGUGUAGAACAAUAAAUCACCUUCGAUCUCCAAUUGAAAAAAUGCUAAUUUAGCUCAGCGAUUCACUGAUUGUACUUUGCUUCGAUAGAAAUCUUUUAUUUAAUGCGAAGCCGUGAUUUGACAGCCUCCUCUAAUGGUGCUCGCAGCCUCUCAGCAUCUCAGUGGAAUUCUGAUCAUGGUUUUAAUAUUCCGUGCAGCUCUGCCCCCUCUGAUUUCACGCUCACACAUUAACGAGAGCUGACACUGGAGAUUAGACGCAGACAGCUGGAAUGCCAGGGCUUUGUUGCGGCAUGGACUGCAGCCAACGUCGUUCAACCACAGCCAAGAGGGACCUGGGAAAGUCUUCUUAAGAAGGAGGGAAAGGCAGGGUGCGGGGCUGGAGGGAGGGUGGGAGCGGGGGAUGGGAGCCCAAAGAAAGGCAAGGUACUUUCUGAAGGACACAGGAUAAUGGAGAUUUUUCGAGGAGCCCUUUCCUCGUGGAAAUUCACAUUUGAAUCGGUUCUGGUGUGUGUUAGAGGAAGUAGGUCAUUACAGGGAAAUCCCAGACUGGUUCAGUAUUUUUCUUUAAACUCCUCUGAAAUUACAAUGGAAGGCUGCGAACGAUGAAUGGAAACGGGCUCCCAGUCUCAGCCAGCCGCUAGUCUGAGAAACAAUGGUGAUUAGAACAGGACUGCUUACAUAAGGAAAUGUGUGUUCUCUCUUCGCCUUGAAAAAAAAAAUCACUUAGUUCCAGGUGGAUAAGUGGGGAACUAGAACUAGAUCUAUGAGCCCGGGCUGCCUGCACAGACUAGUGACUACUACCUCGACGAGAAAGGAACUCUAGUCGCCUUGAUCCGAAGACAGUGUUUCUUGAGACCAGAAAUCAAAUAAAGAUCCACAGUUUCAUCUACACUAGCAACCAGGGCUCAGCCAGUGCCUUACUGCAGAGAGGGAAGAGGAGGGCACCGCCCUAGUCUGCGAUCCAACUUUCUCCUGGAGAAUGACUGAGAAUCAAAGUAGCCCUGACUGCACAUUAACACCUCGUCAAAAAAAAAAAAAAAAAAAAAAAAAAAAAAAAGGCUUCUGCUCCCGGGGGAAAGCAAUUGAGUAGAAAUAACAAAUGUCUUCCUUGCUAACUGUAUCAUCAUUAAUAAUAAUUGUACUUUGCAUUUUUAUGGGAUCCUAGGAUUCUUGAGGUCUUUAUAAAUAUGCAUGGGAGAGAGGGUGAUGGGGAGGCUGAAGGAUGAAUAGAGACGGAUGUGCCCAUUCAGGAUGUUAGGGUGGAGUGACUGAGGCCUGCCACCGCUGCAGGGGAUUACCUGGGACUAAAGAACAGCCAGCAAGCAAGUCCCAAAGCCUCACACUGCACCUGGGCUGGUGCCUACCAGAUAGAUAAUUCCUCUACUGACACCUAUGACUCGCACCCGUGAACCUGGCUUUUGGGUGGGGGAAGGUGGAGGAACUGAUCUGCCUUGAGUAACUUUGUCCUAUAUUUCUGACUGGUACUGUCCUUUGUCCUGGUUGGGUCACUGUCACCAAUAUAGCUUACAAGCUGUGUUAUUGAGCAUGGAACUAGACAAUAUUCUUAUUGAAAGGAAAUAUGAGUUGGGACCUACUAUAUAUAUAUAUGUGUAUAUAUAUAUAUGUGUGUAUAUAUAUAUAUAUAUAUGUAUAUAUAUACACACACAUAUACAUCAUAUGUACAUAUUUGCAUGCCCAUAUAUAUAUACACACACACACAUAUAUAUGUGUGUGUGUGUGUGUGUGUGUGUGUGUGUAUGUAUAGAUUUGAUUCCUACAAGCAGCUCAUAACUGCCUAUAAUUACAGCCCUACCCAGAAGAUCCAAUAGUCCCUGUCCUCAGAGGACACCCCCAUGAAUGUUCACAUACCCACAUGUAUACACACACACACACACACACACACACACACACACACACACACACCUACACAUAAUUAAAAAAAUGAUAGAUCUUUUUAAAAACUAGGAGAUCAUAUCACAGUGGUUUAGGGCCUGUAGCUUAUACCACAGCACCUAAAGCCAAGUAAUUAAGAACAAAUCAGAUAGACGUGUUCAUGAAUCUCACUUCUCUUAAUAUCACUGUGGAGUUAGCAAGGUUCUUAGCUUUUCUAAAUUUGUUGUUGUUGUUUGUGAAAUACAGAUUUUAAUAAAAUAACCCGUGGCAGAGUACCUGACUGGUAGGAGCCACUCAUUAAAGGUCAAUUAUUACUGCUCAUGUUAUUUACAUGAGGCUCUUAGAAGCACUCAAUAGGGACACACACAGGUGAACAUUGCCUAACAGACUCCUUAGUGUUCAUAGUACCUGCUCAUUACUGUUAAGUAGCCUGUGAGAAUGAAGCGUUCUAAAGCACGCUAUUGUUCUCACUACUAUCUUCCUAAUAGAUUUACACUAUACUCAAGAUCCUGAAAAAAAAAAACCUCAAAGCAUCUUUGAAACUAUUCUUUAGAAUGAUGACUGGGAAGCUGGGGAGAUAGCUCCGUUGGUAAGGCCUACCUUGUAAGCAAGAAUUCACAAGUUCAAUGCCCAGAACCCAUAUGAGAAAGCCAGGUAUGAUGGCACACAAUUGUAAUUCCCACGCUGGGAAGACAGAGAUAGGUGAAUCCCUGAGAAUUGUUAGCUAGCCAGCAUCACCUGAUAAGGGAACCUCAGGCCAGUAAGAGAUCCUAUCUCAACAAACAAGGUUUGUAGUGCUUAUAAAAUGACACUUGAGGUACACACACACACACACACACACACACACACACACCAGUACUCUUGGUACUGUGUCUUAAACAUCUUUAAUUACAUCACAUUUCCAUCCUUGGAGGAUGGAUUUCUCAGUGGGAGCUACUAAAAGCUGUCCAGAAGCUAUCUAUGUCUUAUGAAUCUGGUGGGCAAUCAAAUUGGGAGAACGAUUUUUCAGAAAUACAAAUUAGAUUUGCUUUUUGUAAACUGAACCUGACCUCAGUUCCAAGAAAGCCUUAUUGAGCAAAUGUAGCCAUUUUAGAAUAUGCCUAUGAUUUCCUAAAAAGAGAGUGCAUAGAAAGAGCUAUCAUUCCUGGUACAUCUGUAAGGGGGAGACUGGAGCGCAUUAUUUCAUGAUCACAGCUUAUAAACAGACUUCCAGGAAGGAGCUUAUAGUUCCAUGCAGCAGAAAAAGACACCUUGAAUGCUCUUUAUGUUUUAUCUUUAUGUUUUACUGUGCUAAACACCAUGACCCAAAGCAACUUAGGAAAGGAAAGAGUUAAUUUUAGCUUAUACUUCACAGUCCACAAUGGAAGAAAGUCAAGCAGAAAACAGAAAACAAAGAUAAAAGCUGUUUAUAGGCUUGCUUUUUGUUCCCUGCUCAGUGAACUUUAUUAACUAGCAUAGACCCACCCACCUAGAGAAUGAUGCCGCCCAUACUGGGCUGGCUCCCUCAUAGCAAUCAUCAAUCAAAACAAUCUCUCACAGACAUUGCCCCCAGGUCAAUCUUAUUGAGAUAGUUCUUCAACUGAAGUUUCCCUUCUCUAGGUGAGUCCAGGCCUUCCAGAGUUGAUGAAAACCAACCAGAACAACAAGUUCUUUGCAUUUUACUGAAACCUCAAGUUCCGCUGCUCUUGGUUUUGCCCUCUGAGCUUGUGUGCAGCUUUAGUGUAGAGUUCAGUUUGCUCGUUUUUUCAGGAUUCAUUGUUCAUCUUCUGGGUUUCUGAUGCUCGCUAAGCCCUCAUCAGAAAGGCAUACCUAUCAUAAUAGUGAAGAGAAGAAAAUGCUAUUCUUGAGGGCACAUGGGCAUGGCCAGAUCCUGGAGAUGCAAUGCAGCAUGCUGAAGUGUGUGAACUUGUUCUUCGAACUGAGAGGCAAAUGUUGGCCUUUACAGCUAAAGAGAAUCAUAUUUACUUCAGUGUUCCUUUUGGUUCCAUCACACCCUCAUUCUAAGUUUCUGUGUCUUAAGAAUGAAUCAAACCUUGUACUCCUUUUAUUAACGAUAAGCACAACCAAAUUGCAAAUUAUUGUUGGUCCUUAUCUGGAGUAAGUCUUUGUCAAGGAGAGAGAAAACCUGUCCUGAAUCCCACCCCAGAAAGAUCCAUAAACUGUAAACUAUUGCAGUUUUAAAGAGUUGGGUUUGGCUUGAAGAGUUUUAAUUCAUAACCCGUAUGUAACCCGUAUCCCAGGGCUGGGAACUGUGGCAGGCUUCUGAGAGCCCUGGUGGCAUCUCCAUAGCCAUGCUUCUCACAAUUCAUAAGAAAUAGCUUUGACCACAGUUUUUAUAUAAAAGGAGAAUAAUUACAGAGCAGAAGAGAGGGACUACUAGAAUGCUCACAAGUCUAAAGAUGUGGAAGAAUGCUUCUGGUGUUCAGGAAGAAUUGAUCAUAUUGAGAGCACCAUCAUGCCCAUAGGAGAUGUGGAGAGACAGAAAGCCUGAGUGGUUUGAGCAGAGGCAGGAAUACUAUUGUACCAGACACUACAGUUGAAAUGGAUUUGUUUGUUCAGCAUUAGUAUACAGGAAAAAAAUUCAGACGUCAUUGUGAGUGAGAUCAAGUAGAAGCCUAUGACUAAGAUGGUAGAGCCUAUAAACAUCCUAAGUAUCAAUUACCUAAUGGCUUCGUGGUUUCUAGACAUUCCAAAUGAUCAUGGCAUCACAUGCCUUAGAAGAGUGAGUCUUUACGUAGGCUUUGCACCAUAUACACAUUUCAGGUACAGUGCAGUCAUGACAGUGGCUUGUUGGUUUGCUACCACCUAUAGUUAUUGGGAAAGAGUUUGGGAGGUUAUUUCUGUAGAGUCACCUUUAUCAAUUCCUCUCCUCAUGGCUUUCUAGAGUGAAAGAGAAAGGAAGACCUAUGGGGAAAUAGGAAAUCUCAGAAUGCUCCCCCCACUUCCAUAGAGUACCAUAUAUGUUAAUUUAUGAUAAUGUCAUGUAUAUUGCCUACAGAAAAGAGGCUAGAACUGCUGUGUUGGAAAAUGACAUUUGAUGUAAACACAAGCAUAUCAUGUAUAGAAUUCAAAUGGUGCUUAGUUAUCUUAAGAUGAGAAGACAACAUAAUAAGAUAGCUUGCUAGUAACUGAGUUUAAGGCUUAUGGGUUCUGCUCUGUAAUAUAAAAGAAUAAACUACGUGCAAAGCUACCUCUUUUUUUUUUUUUUGGUCCCACUAUUGUUUGUUUCUAGCUACCUUCAUCAAGCCCACAGGUUGUCUCAUUAUUUGGGCUUGUCCCUCAGUUGUUGCUGGAAUUAUUAGGGGAUAUAAGGAAAGUGCUGGAGGGGAGGGGAAUACCAUUCAGUGAACAUCUACUGUGCUGGUAGCAUGAGGUGUGUGUGUGUGUGUGUGUGUGUGUGUGUGUGUGUGUGUGUGUGUGUACACAGUUACAAAUGUCUAUAGCACAUACUUUAGUCCUUAAAAUAAUCCUGUGUUUUGUUACUAAUUAACAAAUGAGGGUUUUGAUAUAAAAGGAGACUAAUUACUCAAAUGCCUACUAACUAAUAGAGAGAUUAAAUAAUUUGAACCCAGG
rnacentral:lncRNA from 1 species